rnacentral:sRNA from 1 species
GAAGUACGUGCUGUGUCAUGUCUAAAUUAACAUUAUAUUAAACUACUUGUGUAAUUAAAUGGAUUGUUUAAAAAAUGCAUAUUUUUCAUUUCAUCAGAGUAUCUAGAAACAAAUCUGAAAAGAAACGUAGAGAUCAAUUUAAUGUUCUCAUUAAAGAACUGGGAUCCAUGCUUCCUGGUAAUGCUAGAAAGAUGGACAAAUCUACUGUUCUGCAGAAAAGCAUUGAUUUUUUACGAAAACAUAAAGAAAUCACUGCACAGUCAGAUGCUAGUGAAAUUCGACAGGACUGGAAACCUACAUUCCUUAGUAAUGAAGAGUUUACACAAUUAAUGUUAGAGGCUCUUGAUGGUUUUUUUUUAGCAAUCAUGACAGAUGGAAGCAUAAUAUAUGUGUCUGAGAGU